UUAAAAUAUAAUAGAUAUAUUUUAAUAUUUUCAUAAUUUCAAUUCUAAAUUUUUUAUUAAAUAUUUUUACUUUUGUAUAUAUAUUGUUUAAAAAAAAAGAAAAAAAAUUUACCCUCCCGCAACCGUCCACAACCGCAAAUGCUAGCUGAAGCCAGCUUUUGAAUUUAUGAGAUUCAGAGCGGUUUGAAGCGGUUUAGAGCGAUUUGAGUGAUUGUUGCAAACCACCGACAACCGCUACCAACCGCAAAAGCUGCGUUUGCGGGUGGUAGCGAGAAAACCAGUCGCCCCCUAAGACUCGUUAAUCACUUAAUUGUUUAUACAGUUUAAAAACAAAAUCUGACAUAUAACAAGAUCUGACAUAUAUUAAAAGAAAUUAAUAUUUUUCAUUUUAUAUGUUACUAUAUAUAUAUAUAUAUAUUAGAAAUAUAUUCAUUAAAAAUAAAUAUAUUGUAAAUAUAUUAUACUAAUUUUUAUAAUAAUUUUAAAUAGCAUAAUCAUACUGCUCUACCAAUCAUCUUAUUAAACAGUUUAGCAAAAGCAUACAUAUCUCAUGCAACAUACUGCUUCUUUAGCAUACUGCUACUGCUAAUGCUAACGGUCUACCAAUCAAGGCCUUAGUCGAAGUUCGUAAUUCAUGAUUUGACAUUUUUUUGGUUAAGAGACGGCUCUUAUAUCUAUAUUUAAGAGACAAUUCCUAACUUUUCUUAAUUUAAAUAUAAGAAAAACUAAGAACCGUCUGUUAUUCAAAACUAAAAAUUCCAAUUAAGAGACUGAGGUUAAUCAUGGUCUAAUUCUAAUAAUUAUUUACUUAAAAAUGAUGAAUAUUUAGAGCAGUUCUUUGGAAAAUUCUAUUAAACUUUUAUUUUCCUUACUUUUGCAUGCUACACAUACUUGCAUUACAGCUUUUCACUACCAGAUCAACUAAAGUAUUGUUAUGUUAUGGGGCCAAAACUAAAACUAACAAAAAUGUUGGGCAUAAAACGGAAGAUCUCUGGAGCAUGGUACCAAAGAGAAGUGAACGGACUGAUUGAUAUGGGCAAGAAAACAAACGAAACAAAAAAAAUCAUAGUAUCAUUCUUACUUGUAAGAGCCUUGUCGUAGUUUUCUGUUUACAAAAAAAAUGUUUUUGAAGAUAUCAACUGAAAUGUAUUAUACUGAAGACUUGUUAAGAGUGAAUACGUAUAUACAAAUAGUAGUACUACCGUUCACACAUUAAACGAAAUAUUAAUUUGACUUAGGAACCCAGGUCUGUCAAUGGAUUCUUUUUCGCGUCAUCAGUUUGAUUAUAAAACAGUAUAGUAUUAGACUACUAGUUUAGUACGUUACUAGUUUAUAGCAUUAUUUUGACCAUUUAUGCCUUAGGAGACUGUGAUUUUCCCGCACGCCCACAAAGUUUCUAUUCCCCACAAAUCUUAAGACUUUUGAUUACUUCACUUUUAAAUAACUUUUUUUCUUGAACCAUUUUAUAUAGCAUUUUUUGUGGAACAACCAUUUUAUAUUAGCUAAAAACGAAUUCGAUCACUUUUAAUUAUAUUUCAAUCAAUGUUACUUCGCCUACUUCAUUUUUCAGAGGACGGAAACUCAUUUGAAUAGAGAAUAACAAUAUAUUCAAAACACAAGAGAUGAAUAAACUUCAUAAGAAGUUAGAAAAAAUAAUUUUAGGAAAUUGCAGACUUGAGAAAUAGGAACAACACAUGGACAUCAUCGUUUCUGAAGAAUGUUAUUAUAUAGAGUAUGAAUUUUUGUAUAUAAACAUGAUAUAUUUUGAAAUUUGAAGUCUAAAGUUUUGUCCCUAGAAUUGAGGAAUUCCAUUUACCAAGAUUCUCUUAAUUUGCUCAAUCUCAGUCUCUUCACCAAUUAGCGAAUAAUUAUGUUUAGCUAGUAAGCCUAGUCCAGCUAGGUUGAGUUAUGAAGUAAAAAAUGUUACAAUAAAUAACGUGGGAUAUACGUUAUAUGAAACAUAUAUACAUUUUAACAGGAGGAAACCAAUGAAAAGAACUGUUGACAAAGAAAGCAAAGGUGAAAAUGAAACACAGUUUCGAGUUUUUAUUUGACCUGUUGACUUUUAUUUCACUUAUUAGGAGGACCAACGAAACUGCUAACUCAGAGAAGAGGACCACCUUCCGGGCAGAACGGUCACGUGUUCGGGCAGGUUGGUUAAUGAAUAUCGUAACGAUGACGUCAUCAAGCUCACCUAAAUAGUAGCUCUUUCGGCAUUGACGACGCCACAAUCCCUUGCAAAGGUCCAAUUGGGCCCCGGCCCACGAAGGUUAUUAUUUAUUUAUUUCUCUCUUUGCCUUAUAAUCACUCCUCACUUGAUUCCUUCUCCAUCAUAUAUCUCACCGUUUAUCAAGACUCUCUCUCUCUCUCUCUCUCUCUCUCUCUCUAAAUGGAACAGAGAGAAGAGCUCUCAUGGAUGAAAGAAGCGAAACAGGAGUUUCUCCAAGGCAGUAGCGUGAACAUAAACCUCAUGAUGCAUAGAGAUUAUUGGGUCCGUUGUGCUGAAACAUUAAGUUUCUUUUCGGAACUCCAAUUACAUUGAUAAUCUGGUGUUAUCCCAACUUGAGCUCAUUGUCAAUUUUUUUUUUCUUUUUUUAAACUUCUUUCUUCCACUGAAUGAUUUUUAUUUUCUUGACCUUGUAAGGCCUUUUCUUGACCUUGUAAGACCCCAUCCCUUUCUAAGUGUCUCCUUCUUCUAUCAUUUUACAGAUUUUCUUUUAUCUCUUUUUGGUGUAAGAUAUGUAUGUAUAUCUACCCCUAGUUUGUCUGAGUCAUCUUCUCCUACCUUGUCUAUCCCUCCUGAGCUAGUCCUUGUAUCUUUUUGUUAGUCCAUUGAUAUAAAUUUCAAAAAAAAAGAACUUAGUUUUAACA